UGAAGAGUGGUAUAAGCAACUCUGGGAAUAUACCAAACUCUGGGAUGUACACUUUAGAAGACUGGGUUUUAUGGCAUAUCAGUUAUAUCUUGAUGGACUCUUACCUUGUUUUCAAGUAGCAUAUGUAAGGCCUAAGCACAGUUGCCUGGGGUGUAUAGACUUGUGCCAUAUGGAACCAGUUUGGUUCAGGGCAGCCAGCUGUUUGCAACCAGGUGCCUUCGGUUCACCUUGUUAAGAUGAUUUGUUAAAGAUAGUUUUGAUUUCCAUUUUCUGCUAAGAGGGCUAGAUAAAUCUAAAGCUAUAAAGGGAUAUUUGCUUUUUAAGAUCAGAAUGGCCUGCCUUGCUGCUAAAGAGCUGGAUGGUGUGGAAGAAAAACACUUCUCUCAAGUUCCCUGUUCCCUGAGCACCUCGCCGCUGCAGACCAGGCUCCUGGAGGCAAUAAUCCGCCUCUGGCCCCUGGGACUGGUCCUGGCCAAUACGGCUAUGGGUGUAGGCAGCUUUCAGAGGAAAUUAGUGGUCUGGGCUUGCCUCCAGCUCCCCAGGGGCAGCCCCAGUAGCUACACUGUCCAGACAGCACAAGACCAGGCUGGUGUCACGUCCAUCCGAGCGCUGCCUCAGGGAUCGAUAAAGUUUCACUGCAGAAAGUCUCCACUGCGGUAUGCUGACAUCUGCCCUGAACCUUCGCCCUACAGCAUUACAGGCUUUAAUCAGAUUCUGCUGGAAAGACACAGGCUGAUCCACGUGACCUCUUCUGCCUUCACUGGGCUGGGGUGAUCCUUGGUGCCUUUGUUUCCACAAGGCCUUUUCCUGCCCCCUGCCUUGCCAAAGACAUUUAAUCAG
rnacentral:sRNA from 1 species